GAAUGUGAAUGACUUCUGACUACAACACCCAUCUCCCAGGUGAUUUUAGGUUGAUUUUCUCACCUGGAUGGCUAGAAGGGAGUUCUUAAUCCCUAAUAAUUCCAAGUGGAGCCCUGCAAAAGCUGAGAACUUGGUCAAAAAUGGAAAACCUUCCAAAAUAAAGGAGGCCCUGUCUUCUGUCAGAAAAUAAGUUUCAGAUAAGUGGAGGUGAGGGAGGAGUCCCUUUUGCU
rnacentral:sRNA from 1 species